CAACUUGGAAGAAAGUAUCACGUCUGCUGGAAGAGAUGAUCUAGAGAGCUUCCAGCUUGAGAUAAGUGGCUUUUUAAAAGAAAUGGCAUGUCCAUAUUCUGUACUCAUAUCAGGAGAUAUUAAAGAUCGUUUAAAAAAGAAGGAGGACUGUUUGAAACUUCUAUUAUUUUUAAGUACAGAACUUCAAGCUUCACAGAUAUUACAGAACAAGAAACAUAAAAAUUCUCAAUUAGAUAAAAAUAGUGAAGUUUAUCAGGAAGUUCAAGCUAUGUUUGAUACACUUGGUAUACCCAAGUCAACAACUUCUGACAUUCCGCAUAUGCUAAACCAAGUGGAAUCAAAGGUAUUAUCUUUGUUUUAUUUUCCCCAAAAUUCAACUGAAUGGUAACAUGUAAGUGCUAUAUUAAAAAUGAAACUAUUCCCUAUAAUUAUGAGGUAUACAUUUUAUUUCAAGAGUUUAUCUUCAUAUAAACCCAGUUUUGGAUUCAGACUUAACAGGCAUGUGACCUAAUCUGUCAGUAGCUGAUAUUCAGGAAUCAAAUCUUAAUGAGUUACUGGCCUUCAGCUUUGCCAGAGUUUACCAUGAUAGAAAUCACUUAG
rnacentral:lncRNA from 1 species